rnacentral:tRNA from 1 species
GGGCCUGUAGCUCAAUGGUAGAGCAAAUCCCUCUUAAGGAUGAGGUUGAAGGUUCGAAUCCUUCCAGGCUCA